AAGGAGCACCACGAAAGCACUCCAAUUGGUGGGGUGCGAGCCGUGAGGGGUUCUCGCCUGUAGUGGGCGAGGGCCGGGUGCACAACAGCAAAUAAUUGCCAGACACACUAUUGGGCCCUGAGACAACACUCGGCCAGUCCGUGUGGUGUCCCUCCAUCUUGGUGGUGGGGUGUGGUGUUUGAGUAUUGGAUAGUGGUUGCGAGCAUCUA
rnacentral:misc_RNA from 1 species